GAUGAACGCUGGCGGCGUGCCUAAUACAUGCAAGUCGAGCGAAUGGAUUAAGAGCUUGCUCUUAUGAAGUUAGCGGCGGACGGGUGAGUAACACGUGGGUAACCUGCCCAUAUGACUGGGAUAACUCCGGGAAACCGGGGCUAAUACCGGAUAACAUUUUGAACCGCAUGGUUCGAAAUUGAAAGGCGGCUUCGGCUGUCACUUAUGGAUGGACCCGCGUCGCAUUAGCUAGUUGGUGAGGUAACGGCUCACCAAGGCAACGAUGCGUAGCCGACCUGAGAGGGUGAUCGGCCACACUGGGACUGAGACACGGCCCAGACUCCUACGGGGGGCAGCAGUAGGGAAUCUUCCGCAAUGGACGAAAGUCUGACGGAGCAACGCCGCGUGAGUGAUGAAGGCUUUCGGGUCGUAAAACUCUGUUGUUAGGGAAGAACAAGUGCUAGUUGAAUAAGCUGACACCUUGACGGUACCUAACCAGAAAGCCACGGCUAACUACGUGCCAGCCGCCGCAGUAA
rnacentral:rRNA from 1 species